UAAAGGUCUCUAACGGUCUCUCUCCUCCUAACACCAUGAGAAGUCAACGUUCCCUCUUAAAGGUCUCUAACGGUCUCUCUCCUCCUGACACCAUGAGAAGUCAACGUUCCCUCUUAAAGGUCUCUAACGGUCUCUCUCCUCCUAACACCAUGAGAAGUCAACGUUCCCUCUUAAAGGUCUCUAACGGUCUCUCUCCUCCUGACACCAUGAGAAGUCAACGUUCCCUCUUAAAGGUCUCUAACGGUCUCUCUCCUCCUGACACCAUGAGAAGUCAACGUUCCCUCUUAAAGGUCUCUAACGGUCUCUCUCCUCCUGACACCAUGAGAAGUCAACGUUCCCUCUUAAAGGUCUCUAACGGUCUCUCUCCUCCUAACACCAUGAGAAGUCAACGUUCCCUCUUAAAGGUCUCUAAACGGUCUCUCUCCUCCUAACACCAUGAGAAGUCAACGUUCCCUCUUAAAGGUCUCUAACGGUCUCUCUCCUCCUGACACCAUGAGAAGUCAACGUUCCCUCUUAAAGGUCUCUAACGGUCUCUCUCCUCCUGACACCAUGAGAAGUCAACGUUCCCUCUUAAAGGUCUCUAACGGUCUCUCUCCUCCUGACACCAUGAGAAGUCAACGUUCCCUCUUAAAGGUCUCUAACGGUCUCUCUCCUCCUGACACCAUGAGAAGUCAACGUUCCCUCUUAAAGGUCUCUAACGGUCUCUCUCCUCCUGACACCAUGAGAAGUCAACGUUCCCUCUUAAAGGUCUCUAACGGUCUCUCUCCUCCUGACACCAUGAGAAGUCAACGUUCCCUCUUAAAGGUCUCUAACGGUCUCUCUCCUCCUGACACCAUGAGAAGUCAACGUUCCCUCUUAAAGGUCUCUAACGGUCUCUCUCCUCCUAACACCAUGAGAAGUCAACGUUCCCUCUUAAAGGUCUCUAACGGUCUCUCUCUUCCUGACACCAUGAGAAGUCAACGUUCCCUCUUAAAGGUCUCUAACGGUCUCUCUCCUCCUGACACCAUGAGAAGUCAACGUUCCCUCUUAAAGGUCUCUAAACGGUC